CGGCAACAGCUCAAAUUUGAAAUCUGGCUCUUCUAGGGUCCGAGUUGUAAUUUGUAGAAGAUGCUUCGGGUGUGGCUCCGGUCUAAGUUCCUUGGAACAGGACGUCACAGAGGGUGAGAAUCCCGUACGUGGUCGCUAGCCUUUACCGUGUAAAGCCCCUUCGAC
rnacentral:rRNA from 1 species